rnacentral:rRNA from 1 species
AGAUUGAACGCUGGCGGCAUGCCUUACACAUGCAAGUCGAACGGCAGCGACGGGAGCAAUCCUGGUGGCGAGUGGCGAACGGGUGAGUAAUAUAUCGGAACGUGCCCAGUCGUGGGGGAUAACGCAGCGAAAGCUGUGCUAAUACCGCAUACGAUCUC